rfam:Ciona savignyi cont_60446, whole genome shotgun sequence.
GCCCGGUUAGCUCAGCCGGUAGAGUGUUAGACUUUUAAUCCAACGAUCAAGGGUUCAAGUCCCUUAUCGAGCU